GAUGGAGAACGCAGCAAAAUGCGAUAAGUAAUGUGAAUUGCAGAAUUCAGUGAAUCAUCGAAUCUUUGAACGCACAUUGCGCCCGCCAGUAUUCUGGCGGGCAUGCCUGUUCGAGCGUCAUUUCAACCCUCAAGCCCUCGGGUUUGGUGUUGGGGAUCGGCGAGCCUUUCUGGCAAGCCGGCCCCGAAAUCUAGUGGCGGUCUCGCUGCAGCCUCCAUUGCGUAGUAGUAAAACCCUCGCAACUGGAACGCGGCGCGGCCAAGCCGUUAAACCCCCAACUUCUGAAUGUUGACCUCGGAUCAGGUAGGAAUACCCGCUGAACUUAAGCAUAUCAAUAAGCGGAGGA
rnacentral:misc_RNA from 1 species